rnacentral:lncRNA from 1 species
UGCAUAACCAAUCCGGGUGUGAGACACGCCUCUCCUAGGCCUAUAUAAGUAGUACCAGUUCUGGGCUCGGGGUCUUUUCGCCUAUGCGGUCAAUGCUCUCCCAAUAAACACGUUGCAGAAGGAUCCUGUUGUGGCACCUCUCUUGCUGGCGAGUCGGGCGCUCACAAGUGGUGCUGAAACCCGAGAAAAGAAACAUCUUCAGGCACGAGCGAAGACCCCCUGUUAAAGGGAGGAUUCAGAACUGCAUCACAGGGAUUGAGCAGUUAAUGAAGUCUUCCCAUGAAGCAAUCUGUUGAGAAGGAUUCAACUGCGUGGAUUCAGAACUCUUCAGCUGGGGAACAGGGGUACAGGGCCCAGGCAACUCUGAAGGUGAAGAAGUGAAAUGAAAGUAAGAGCCAGAAAGAAUGAAGGACAUCAAAAGAACAAGGGCCUCUAAAUCAACAAAGCAAAGUUUAAAUAAACUCAAGAGACUAAAGCAUCUUGCACAGCGCUGGCCAAGAACUCUGGAGUGUAUAAAUGAGGUGGAGAGCAUCAGUAAUCCCACUCCUCUUCUGAGAUGAGAAGCCAAGGCAGACAGAAGAGGCCAGAAGCAUGAAACCGAAGAAGGGGAGACCCUGCCUCAAAGCAUGGUUUGGAAAAUAACCAUGAGAAAGGAAGGACUGUGGCUGUCCAAGGAAUGGCAGGUUGAAGAACCACUGCAGCUUUGAUCUUGACAUACUUUAGAGGACAUGUUGAAUGCAAGCCUUCACUCCUCAGGGACAGGGAGAUUUGCUUCUCAGGGAAUGCUAACCCGAUCACAGCUCCACUCUCCCCAUUCGCCACUCUCUUUCUCGUCAAUGAAGAGGAAGCCCCUGUGCACAACACCCCUCCCGAGGACAUCUAUUCUCAGCAGGACUAGGCACAUCCUCUCCCACUGAGACCCAACUAAGCAAUCUGGGUAAGGGGUAGGGUAUCCAAUGGCAAGGAACAGAGACUGUUACACUUGUUAGGGGAGACCACAUAAAGACCAAGUUGCACAUUGGCUACAGAUGUGUAGGAAGCCUAGGUCCAGCUCCAGCAUGCUCUCUGGUUGGUAACCCAGUUUCUGUGAGUGCCCAUGGUCCCAGGUUAUUUGACUAUGUAGGUCUUCUUGUGGUGUGCUUGCUGCCUUAGGAUUGUCUACUUGUAUCCCCAACUUUUCCACUAGAUUUGCAGAGCUCUAACUGAAGUUUGGCUUUGGAUCUCUGUAUCAGCUUCUAUUCUCUGCUGGAUAAGCCUCUGAGGAGGCAGUUAUGCUAGAUUCUUGUCUGCUAGUAUAACAAAGUAUCAUUAAUAUUUUCAGAGGUUGGCUUUCUCACAUGGGAUGUGUGUUAAGUUGGGAUAGUCAUUGGUUGGCUGUUCCCUCAGUCUCACUCCAUCUUUAUUCCCACACAUCUUGUAGGCAAGACACAUUUUGGGUUGAAGGUUUUAUAGGUGGAAUGAUGUGCCUUCCUUCCUCUGAAAAUCCUGCUACACAGGAAGAGGCCACUUCAGUCUCUAUAUUCCCCUCUGGUAGGAAUCUCAGCUAGACUUACCCUUAUAGACUCCCUGUAUCCUCUCCAUCCCAGAUUUCCAUUUAGUCACCAGAAAUGCCCCAUAGAAUUUCCAUUUUCACUUCAAGCUUUUCCCCAUUCCCCUCUCUCCCCAUACCUGAUCACCACUACCAUCAAACUCUCCUAGCUAUUUCGCCUAACCAGUUCCUUCUUUCCAUUCACCUUCAAUGACUAUUUAGUUUUUCCUUUUGAGUGAGAUUUGCACAACCUUUCUUGAGACAUUCUUAUUACCCAGCUUCUUCUGGGUCUGUGGAUUGUUGCAAGGUUAUCCUGCACUUUACGGCUAAUGUCUACGUAUAAGUGAGUUCAUAGAUAUGUGUCUUUCUGGCUCUGUGGUAUCUCACUCAGGAUGAUAUUCUCAAUUUUCAUUUAUUUGCCUGCAAAGUUUAUGAUAUCUUUGUUUUUAAUAGCUGAAUAGCAUUCCAUUGUGUAGCUCUGCCAUGCUUUCUUUAUCUACUUUUCAGCUGAAGGACAUCUAGGUUGUUUCCAUGUUAUCAUUAUUAGGAGAAAAAAAAAGAAAAGCUGCUAUGAACAUAGCUGAGCAAGUGUCCCUGUGGUAUAAUGUGGGUAUAUUCCCAGGAGUGGAUAGUUGAGUUUACAGGUAGAACUAUUCACAAUUUUCUGAAAAACUGCCAAAUUGAUUUCCAUAGUGGUUGUACAAUUUACACUCCCAUAAGCAAUGGAGGAGUGUUCCCCUUGCUCCACAUUCUUGCCAGUAUGUGCUAUCACUUGAGAUAAAUGGGCUGAUAAAGAAAUUAGAGAAACCAUGCCCUUUAUGAUUUCCACAAAGAAUAUAAAGUAUUGUGUUGUGGUUUAGUCUUUUGAUAUGCUAAAUACCAGUUGCUCCCAGAGACUACAUAUAAACCCAAGUGAUGCUAUGUGGCCUUGCCAACCAAGUUAUCCCUGAUUGGUGAAUAAAUAUGCUGAACAGCUAGAAGAUGGGCAGAAAAGACAGGCAGGGUUUAGGGUUCUCAGGCUUUGGGUCAGGGGUAACCACAAGGAGAAGACGAUGAAGGGGAG